CACCUCGUCGGCCCGCCCCUCCCAGCCACCGCCCAGCACCGCCGGGGCCUGCCCCUCCCCGCCACCGCCCAGCACCACCGCAGCCCACCCAUGCGCCCGCCCCUCUACCGUUCCAGGCCGCGGCGCCGCCCCCUCCCGCGGCCCUCCCGGCCACCGCGGCCCUCCCCGCCACCACAGCCCGCCCCUGCGCCCUCCCCUCCAUCGAUCCAGGCCGCGGCACCGCCCCCUCCCCGCGGCCCUCCCGGCCACCGCGGCAUGCCCCUGCGCCCGCCCCUCCACCGAGCCAGGCCGCGGCGCCGCCCCCUCCCUGUGGCCCUCCCUGCCACCGCGCCAUCCACCGUAGUUUAAAUAUCUGGGGAGGUUGCAUUGCCCGGAGGAAAGGCAGAGGAGGGUGAUGCUGAUGAUGCAGCAACAACAUUAAGGGAGGCAAAGGAGGAGAUUGGGCUUGAUCCAGCCUUGGUCACUCUUGUUUCCUCGCUUGAGCACUUCUUGCCCAAGUUGUUUCGUCGCUGCGAGGGUCUGGUGUUCGACGACCUCCCCGUGCGUUCAACGAGCUCUGCCCCGAUGUUCAUGGGUGUUGACAGAUGGUGGGCGCGGGUCGAGAGCGCUCCAAGGCUCCUUCCUCGGCGCGUGGUGGGAGGGGUAGUUCCAUUCCACCCCAGACCCUCCGGAGAGCUCUGGAUCUCAGUAUGAAGACACCACCAGCGGUCGCUUCUUCUUUGGCCGGGAGAGGUCGGGGGGAGAAGAAGGAGAAGGCUAGUAGAGGUGGACGUGGCGGCGGGAGAGGUAGGAAGGCUGCCACUACGCCUUCCUCGCCGCCACCCUCAGCUGAUUCACCUGACCACAGGACUGCCCCGUCUGAGAUGGAGCUUCCUGAGGUGGACCUGUCUUGGACCCCGGUCCACGAGCCUCGGGCCGACGAGCCUUCGCCCCACGAGACUCCGGUCCCUGAGGCUCCGUCCCACGAGACUCUGGAUCAGGCUACGUCGCAGCAUGGUGGACUGGCCGGAGUCGAGUGGCCAUGCUGAUGGUGACGAGGGUGGCUAUAGUUCUGAUAGCUAUAGCGAGAGUGAGCUGGUGGAGGGGGGAAAUGUCUACCAGCAUGGUGGUACAAAGCUCCCGCCCACCCCAGUGACCCAUGACCAGAGGUGGUUGAUUACACGUGAUGGGGAGAAGUCUUGGAAACACGGUCAUGGUGUCCGCAGGUCCAACACAGUCCUUGGUGUGAUUUGUCGCCAGAGCUUCCCGGGGUGGGUCACAUUACUUGGUGAGGGCUAGGUUCCAGAGCUAGGAAUGACCUGGGAGCACUACUUGGCUGCCCCGGCCCCGCCGGGGGAGAGGAUCGGCGGUGUCGAGUGCCACAAGGUGGCCGAUGUUGUGAUCCAGACGUUUUGGACCUUUUACAGAUGUGCUGAGGGAUAGGAGGAGGCCGCGGCUCGGGUUAUCGAAGCGGAGUGCAGGCGACUACUUCAAAACUGGCGGAACGGGGCUCGGACGCAGGCUACUCGAGACUACUUCGCCUCGAUUGGUAUUAGGAUGUCCAAGUCGAAGUGCUGCAAAAAGUAUCUAAGUAAGGAGAAGUACAUGAAGGUGCUCCCGAGAUGGUGUGCGGAUAGGCUGGAUUGUUGGGAGGCAUUGGUGGAUGAGUGGUGCUGUCCCCAAUGGCUAUCCACCCACAACAAUGCAAAGGAUCGACGUGGCAAAAUGAGCAGCGUGCCACACCAUCAAGGCCGCGUCAACCUAUAUCAGUACGGGGAUAACUGGGCGCGGCACAACAAGACGGAUGUGCCAGAGCUGUUCGACAUAUAUGCCAUGGCCCAUAGUGCCCCGUAUAAGAAGGCCAAGGCAUUCUCCGAGUCUGAUCUCGAUGAUCCAAAGAACUUCACCAACCGUGCCUCCCACAACAAGCUAGUGAGGUACAGAGACGAGUGGAAGGCAAGGAAAGGGCCGGACUUUAACCCGAGCUAGCCUAUUGAUCCUGAGCUGGUGAUGAUAUCUGGUGGCGGGAGGAACCAUGGCUUGUUAGCCAUUGGGGAUGGACUGAUACGUUGUACUAGCACUCUCCCGCAGAUCAAGAGGCGCCAGACGAGCUCCGAUCCUGAGAUAAGGCCUCCUCCACGGCCAAUGGAUCUUGAAAUCAAGGCUGCUAUUGAGGAAGAGAGAGCAAAGACCCAGGAGCUUCUGGCAGAGGAAAGGAGGCAGACGGCAGAGAGGGAGGGGGAGACUAAGGAGAGGACGGCUAGGCUUUUGGAGGAGGAGAGGAACCGGAACGACUUGGCUAACCGGGCCAUAUACGAGAUCUUCGCGUCCAUGUGCGAGAAGAACGGUCAGACCCCUCCGCCGAUGCCAGUCAUUGCUCCGGCGGACACGCAUAACUCCCGACAAGCAUCGAUGUCUGCCAUUGGCGCGAGCAAGAACCCCAAUCCUCCUCCGUCUGCCACUACUGCGAGCAAGAACCCCGAUCCUUCACCUACAGGUUGACGAUUUGCUUCAGAUCACGGAAGCAUGGGUUGAUGGAGUGCUUGUCUUUAGUUUU